UACAGAGGAGCCAAGCGUUGUCCGGAUUGACUGGGCGUAAAGCGCACGCAGGCGGACGCGCGCGUGGGGUGUGAAAUCUGGCCGCUUAACGGCCAGGCGCCAUCCCAUACGGCGGGUCUGGAGCCUUGCAGAGGUCGGUGGAAUUGCCGGUGUAGUGGUGAAAUGCGUAGAGAUCCGGAAGAACACCGGUGGCGAAGGCGGUCUGCUGGGCAGUAGCUGACACUGAGGCGCGACAGCGUGGGGAGCAAACAGG
rnacentral:rRNA from 1 species